rnacentral:rRNA from 1 species
AUGAUGAUUGGCCUCUGCAAUCUAUUACAGGAGAUGAAAACCGAGCAGAAUGAUGUUUCGAAAACUGAGGUCUUUGCGUGCCCUGUUUGCUAUGAACCGCUGAUAAGGAAAGGGCCGCCAGGCAUGAACUUGGGGUGGCGUCAGAACUUCAAUCGGAGUGGCUUCCCUGGCCGCGAUGAAGAGUUCCAAAUGGCUCAAGACUAUUUCCAAUCAGUCGCUGGUGGUAUACUCGUUGAUGUCAGCUGUGGCAGUGGCUUGUUUUCAAGGAAGUUUGCAAGCUCUGGGGCAUACUCAUCUGUGAUUGCUUUGGACUUUUCUGAGAAUAUGCUCCGCCAAUGUUAUGACUACAUCAAACAAGAAGAAACCCCUAUGAACACGAACCUCGCACUUAUAGCUGAAAUCAGCCGUGUGCUGAAGCCCGGUGGUGUAUUUGUAGCGACAACCUUCUUAUCCACCCCCACGAACAGCGGCCCGUUCUCUAUUGACGCACUAAGGCCACUGAGACAGAUUGUUGGGCCAGUGAACAGCAGCUACAACUUCUUCACCGAAGGAGAGCUGGAAGACCUGUGCACAUCCUGUGGCCUGAUCAACUACAGCAGCAAGGUGCAGAGGUCAUUCAUCAUGUUCUCCGGGCAAAAGCCAUAG